rnacentral:rRNA from 1 species
UACGAAGGGGGGCUAGCGUUGCUCGGAAUCACUGGGCGUAAAGCGCACGUAGGCGGAUUGCUAAGUCAGGGGUGAAAUCCUGGAGCUCAACUCCAGAACUGCCUUUGAUACUGGCGAUCUCGAGUUCGGGAGAGGUGAGUGGAACUGCGAGUGUAGAGGUGAAAUUCGUAGAUAUUCGCAAGAACACCAGUGGCGAAGGCGGCUCACUGGCCCGAUACUGACGCUGAGGUGCGAAAGCGUGGGGAGCAAACAGG